UACGUAGGGCGCAAGCGUUGUCCGGAAUUAUUGGGCGUAAAGAGCUCGUAGGCGGUUUGUCGCGUCGGCUGUGAAAACCUGAGGCUCAACCUCAGGCCUGCAGUCGAUACGGGCGGACUUGAGUACUGCAGGGGAGACUGGAAUUCCUGGUGUAGCGGUGAAAUGCGCAGAUAUCAGGAGGAACACCGGUGGCGAAGGCGGGUCUCUGGGCAGUAACUGACGCUGAGGAGCGAAAGCGUGGGGAGCGAACAGG
rnacentral:rRNA from 1 species